CGGCGGACGGGUGAGUAAUGCCUAGGAAUCUGCCUGGUAGUGGGGGACAACGUUUCGAAAGGAACGCUAAUACCGCAUACGUCCUACGGGAGAAAGCAGGGACCUUCGGGCCUUGCGCUAUCAGAUGAGCCUAGGUCGGAUUAGCUAGUUGGUGAGGUAAUGGCUCACCAAGGCGACGAUCCGUAACUGGUCUGAGAGGAUGAUCAGUCACACUGGAACUGAGACACGGUCCAGACUCCUACGGGAGGCAGUAGUA
rnacentral:rRNA from 1 species